ensembl:lncRNA
GGACAUUAAAAGAUUAGGGGGAUGUGGGCACGUGCUGGCUUCUGGAGAAGGAGACAAUGCUUGAUUUAGGAUGGAACUUGUCUGCGACGGCCGACAAAGGAGGGAGGCUGGAGCGAGGCAGGGGUCAGCGGAGCUCUUGCUCAGGGGGAGACAAAGGCAAGGGAGGAAGGAGAGGAGGAGCAGAAGUGAGAAGCGGCUGCAGCGUGCUCUGAAAAGGCCGCCGCGGUCUUGCAACAGCUGCUCCCGCACAAGAAAUUUGAGACGGUCUUUUCACAAACACAACGGCUGUCAGAAGAAUAGGGAGGCCACACUUCGCCAGAAUGAGUCGUUUGCAAUUGAAAAGGGGAACUGAGAGCUCCCAGUGCUUUCAAAGGUCUGUAUCUACAGCACUACGAAAUGAUUAGUCAAAGUACAUCGUGGAACAGGAGGAAAGUGUGCCGCAGACCAUAGGGGGAAGUAAAUCCUUGCGGUGCUGUUAAAAGUUGAUGCAGCAGCCAUUCUCUGCAGUAUGUGGCACAGAAGAAAGCAUCCACCCAGCUCUCCUGCUGAGACUCCAGUCAACUCUUUUCUGGCCAGUUGAAUUCUCAGCUUCUUUAAAGCAGCCCCUGCUGUCUGCCUGACAAAAUACCGUAGGCAUCUCAGGAUUUCUUGUAACACACCAGACAGAGAAGCUGAUCCUUCCAUGGAGCAGGCCAGCAUGGUUUCUCUGCCCUGGAAGCUACUGGAAUGUUCCACCAAGAAGAGGUUAAGCUAUGCUGGGUCUUGCGUACCAUGAGGUGCAAGGCAUACUGCCUGUGUAGCAGCUCUCCCUGUAGCAUCUCUUCUGAGGAAAAAGGACUGAAAUUUCCACAUCUGUAAACUUUACCAUUGUGUAAGUGUUGGUUUCCCACAAAAAUGGGAAUACAUGAACUGUGUGAUGAACUCUGGUGUGAUUGCAGCGACCAUGGUUGCCAUGAUCAUGAGGUGGUGGAGUUCAGGAUCUCAUGUGGCCAGAACAGAAUACCGAGCAGAAUCACAACCCUGGACUUCAGGAAGGCCAACUGUGGCCUUUUCAAGCAACUGCUAGGGGAAAUCCCAUGGGACAGGGUACUUGAAAGGGCCCAAGAUAGUUGGUUAGCAUUCAAGGACUGCUUCUUCCAAGCUCGAAAUCAGAGCAUUCAAACAGGCAGGAAGUUGAGAAAGGGAGCCAGGAGAUCUGUGUGAUUAAACAGGGAACUGCUGGGCAAGGAAGUGGAAAAGGAGAGUUUACAGAUCAUGGAAGGAGGGGCUGGUCACUUGGGAGGAAUAUAAGACUGUUGUCAGAGGAUGUGGGGAGGCAAAUAGGAAAGCUAAGGCCUCCUUAGAAUUAAACCUUUGUAGAGGGGUCAAGGACAACAAAAAGGGAUUUUUCAAAUACACUGCAGAUAAAACUAAUACUGGAGGCAAUGUAGGUCCACUGAUGAAUGAGGUGGGUGCCCUGGUGACAGAAGACACAGAGAAGGCAGAGUUACUGCUGGAGGCUGUCCUGAUGAUCUCUGUACCCCUGAGUCCCCAGAGGAAAUCAGAAUAAAGGAAGAGUUUGUCUCAGUUGAUGAGGACUGGGUUAUGGGCCAGUUAAGCAAUCUGGACAUCCAUGAAUCCAUGGGCCCUGAUGGGAUUCAUCCGCGGAUGCUGAGAGAGCUGGUAGAAGUCAUUGCUAGGCUGUUCUCCAUCACUGGUAAGUUGUGGGGAAUGGGAGAGCUGCCUGAGGGCUGGAGGAAAGCAAAUGUCACCUCAGUCUUGAAAAAGGGCAAGAUGAGGACCCUAGUAACCAUAGACCAGUUAGCCUCACCUCCAUCCCUGGAAAGGUGAUGGAACAACUUAUCCUUGGCACUGUCUCUAGGCAUAGGAUAAGAAGGAUAGAAAGGAUCAGAUCAUUAGAGUUAGUCAGCAUGGCUUCAACAAGGGAAAGUCAUGCUCGACCAACCUGAUAGCCUUUUAUGAAGAAAUAAUCAGGUAGACAGAUGAUGGUAAAGCAGUGCUAUCUUGAUUUUGGUAAAGCAGUGCUAUCUUGAUUUCAGUAAAGCAUUUGAUAACAUCUCCCACAGCAUCCUCACAGCUAAACUGAGGAAGUGUGGUCUGGACAAUUGGGUAGUGAGGUGGAUUGUGAACUGGCUGAACGGAAGAAGCCAGUGAGUUUUAGUCAGUGUGGUGGAGACUAGUUGGAGGCCUGUGUCUAGUGGAGUCCUUCAGGGAUUGGUACGAGGACUGGUGCUAUUCAAUAUAUUCAUCAGUGACUUAGAUGAGGGGACAGAGUGCAUGGUCAGCAAGUUUGCUGAUGACACAAAACUGGGAGGAAUGGCUGACAGGCCAGAAGGCUGUCUUGCCAUCCAGUGAGACCUAGACAGGCUAGAGAGUUGGGUGGGGAACAAUUUAAUGAAAUACAAAAAGGGGAACUGUUGGAGAGCAGAGUAGGGGAAAGGGACCUGGGGGUCCUGGGGUAGACAUCAGGAUGACAGAUUUUUUUCUCUCACGUGUGUUAUUGCCAAGUCUCAAGACAGUCUUUGGUUUUCAAAGUUUGUGGGCUUUUUUUUUCUUGUCUGUUUGUUUUUGUGAUUGUUUAAUUUUGAUUUUGUUUACAGGAUCUAAUAUAAGGUACCCUCCAAAUGCCUCACAGUCCUGAGCACCCCCUGAUGUGUGGCAGCCCUCCUAAAGUAGACCUUCUUUUGGUGUAGCACAUGCCAAAGCACUGAUAAACAGAUCACUCGAACACUGGCUCGGAGUGUACCCACUUACUGUUGAGUAGAAAUCCCUGUGUUUAUAGCACUGAGUUCUUAAGGCCUUGCCUAUCUGAUGAAGAUAGAGCAUUAAUCUGUCUGUGUGUUUUGGGAAUUCAGACACAGUAGCAUUCAACUUCAUAUGGCAACAAAAUGGUGUGGUCAAGGGAAGAUGCAGGCAGAAGACACACUGCAAGUGUCAUACUCCAAGUAACAAGGGCAGUUUGUUUUUUCUAUAUUUUCUUAAAGCAAAUGUGAUUUUGUUUGUUUGUUGACAGCUAUGUUCUAAGUAAAAAUGUUUGAAGGCUUUUGAAAAAUAAAAUAAAUAUAUUAGACCAGUAUUCCGGAGGGCAUUUAUGUGUAGUCAGUUAAAAGCUUUUGGACGAAACUGAAAUAAGCAAUGAAUGACUUUUCAGAAUUCUCUAGUGGCAUUUUUCUUGGUAAUAUUUCCCCCUAUCUUUGUUCACCAGUGCAGCAUGGUAUACAAGGAAAUUCCCGUAUGUCACCUCAUUUGACCCUGAGAGCCUGGCUUGUGAGCAGAUACUGUGCUCAAUUUUUGGCCAUGCUGCUGCCUGGCUCCUCUGAAGAAGCACUGCUGCAGGUAGAUAUAGAAAGGUCCAACACCGUGCCCCCAUUUCUAAGUGGGAUGAUGGGCAGACAGGCAUGCGUGUAUUAUGCUGUCUAAAUGUUGGAGUGCCUGUUUACAGAACAGGGAAGCCAGGAGGCUAAGCUUUUGUUUUAGUGAUUCUCUAAAUGCACAGACAGGGAAUAGUACUCUGAGGUCUGGGGCAGCCACCCUUGAGAAGAGGGAGAGGCAAGACAUUGCAGAAGAGCACUGAGAGCACCUGUGUGUACUGUUCUUGCUUUCUGUAACUGCUCAAAAGAAAUUAAGGGGAAGUUCAUAGUAAGGUCCUGAAUUAUUAUUAUUAACACUUGCUCCAGGUGUUGUAAAAAUUAAAAACAAAACAAAACAAAACAAAAAAACGACAUGGCAAACACAGGAAAAAAGGAAAAAGCUUCAGCUGGGAGAAAAACUGAAGCCAGAAAAAGGUAAGUUUAAGAGAUAGCAGUUCCUGGCAGAAGAGAGACCCCAGGACACAUUUGGAGGACAGAUUUUCUGGGCUGGAAAAGGCUUUGAAGGAAACAUGAAGGAAAAAAUUAAAAAGGAGGGAAAAAGGAGAAAAAGGCCUUGUUUGCACUCUAAGUCCCAGAAGUGAUAACCACAUCCUCUUUCCACAGCUGCUUUUCUUUAACUGCCCUGCCACUGCCGUGUAUAUGGUCAGUGCUCGCAUUUGGAGUGUGAAUCUGUCACUUAGCAAUGAUGAGGAGGCACUUGCUCCUGACCUUUUUCUUUGAGUGUUUCAAUAAUUUAUAGCUGUGAAGUUUGUUCAGCCGGUAGGCUAAGGUCCGUGUACCACCUCGCAGCCCUGAUAUGUCCUAAGUUUGGCAGACCAAAUACAGGGCUGAUGUAUAACACUGCAAUCAACCAGGGCAACACUGUCUUCCUCUUCCAUCCACACAUAAUGACUUGGUUUUGGUGAUAAUAUAGAAAAAAAACAUAUUGAAAACUGGGUUAUAUGCUGGCCUCAGCUAGCAGAGUAAGAGCAUGUAAUAAACAUCCUCAUUAACAGAUCUGUUCAAAGGCAGUAUGCAGCAAUACUGCUUCUGUGCCUGAGCAGGGGGAUGGAGCUGGGAAAACAGCCUAGCUCAACUGCAGGUAGCCCAGAUGAUCAUGAGUCUCUAGAAGAUGGAGUCUGCCCUCAGGAAGGGCAGGCUGGCCAGGGCAGCAUGCCUGUGGCAGACCCUGAUUGCCCCUACAUCCCUCUGGCAGCAAUAAUGCAAAUGGUGGGGCUUGUAUUUUCAGGACUGCUGGGAGUUUUAUUGCAGGUGUGUGCAGAACUUGCACAAAAGUACUGCACAGGAGAGAGGCCCCAGCUCACUUGCAGCAGCAGGCUUGCUCUUUGGAAGCCAGUGGCUUGUUCCAAGAUUGAUGGCAAGUAAUAGCAGAAGCCUGUGUCAUUUUGCUACUUUCCAGACUCCAACUUUUCAGAAGGUGAUAUUGCCUUUCAGCUGAAUUGCUUUGGACUCUCCUGACCUUUGCUCUGUUGAGAACUGAAUUAGCCAUCUUGCUGUAGCUAAACCUUCACUGCUGCUACAGAAAUGUGUAGUAAUAAAAUAAAUUGGCUCACAGUGACAAAAUUGAGUGACAUUUUACUUCACAGAACUGUAUGAUAGCCUCGCACUUUACAGCAUCUUCUAAGCAAAAAAAAAAAAAAAAGUUUUCACUUAGAUUUUUUUUUCUUCUUUAAUUAUUUUUCUCUUUACCUCCUUAUAACUUGUCCCUCCCAUUUUUUAUUAACAUCUGUGGUCUGAUAUUGUCUCACAUUAUGUUUUCAAAGCAUAUAAACACAUGAAAAGUAUUACUGAGCUAUAAGAAAUCAGGCAAGACAGGAAUCAAAAUAAUAAGGAACAGUAUAAAGUAUUCUAAAUAUAUUUCUCAGUGUUGCCCCUUUGUGAGGGAGGGAGGAAUGUCAUUGCUUGGAGCAAAUCUACGGGGCAAUGUGUGCUAAAAAAGCACCACAGUGCCUCUAUUUCCUUCAUAUCUGUGAAAAUCUGAAAGACCAAAAGAGCUAGCAAGUUACGAAGGUAAAAAGGAAGAGGUUACUGCAAAUAUCAGUGAGGGAGCUCACUGCUUACAUGAGACAAAAGAGAACCAGCUGGGAAGCUGAAUUUUGGGGGAUGCAAGCAGUAAAUGUAAUUGAUGUGGUACUGCAAAGGGCUGAGUGCCUUUCUGAACAAUGGCUUGUGUCUUGGUUCUGUCAGGAGGGCUGCUGGUCUCUGACCAGACUCAAUCCAGAGAAAUUGGCAUUGUUUUUAGUGUAGCAAGAUACAGCAAAUAGAGUGAAAGCUAGUGGUGUCUGUACAGGUUAUCCAGUCAUUGCUGCAAGAAUAAAUCACUGUCACACCCUCUGUGCAGGGUAAUCUUUAUCUCAAAUGUGCUUCUGUUAAACAGAAUUACAAGAUAAAACAAAACAAACCCCACCAUUCUCCUCUCUCUGCCUAUUGAUUCUGUUAUGUGCUCAAACAAGUAGCACAGUGCCUAGCAAGCUGGAGUGGUGCCGCCUUGCAAUUUGGGAUGUUUAUCCAGGAUUGCAGAAAGCAUGCAACAAUUUUGACUGCAAAGGUUUAUUGCAUUUUCUGGGAAUACUGGUUCUGUUCUAGAAUGCAGUCUUUCCAAGCAGGCCAAGAAGCAUCAUUUUUUAAUGGGACAAGUCUUUAGCAGACACCUCUAUGAUUAGAAUUUUCCCUGUGCAAUUUUUGGAGAAAGUGUGUUUGUGUGCUACUUUGGGGGAAAAAAUAAAUGCAUACUUUGGAAAAUCUACAGAGUAAAAAAAUACUUGUGAUAUUAAUCUGUUGUGCUAUUUUUAUAUGUUGUGGUAGUUUCUUCUUAUGAAAUAUUUGCAUGCAAAAUAAAAUAUGAGUUAAAAAUCCAAAGUGCAAUUGAGAUUCACAAAUGAAUAACAUCCUGCAAACUUUUCUGCUCAUUGAGUCACUUUAAUGUAUUUAUUUUUUAAUGUUAGUGAACUUCUCUUUGAUAUUGGUAAGAAAACCCACAAAACUUCACUAACAUUCAGAUCUUCUGAAUAACUUUCCCACAUAAGAGGGGAAUUUUUCUUGUGGUUUUUCAAUAGAUACUCAGUCUGUUUUGGCUAAGCACCUUCAUAAGUUUUUUCUUCUAAGUCUAAGGCUUUUUCAAGAGCUUGCAGGUGGAUUAGAAAACAGUGCUCUGCUUUCAACUUUCUGUUUCUGGUCUACGAUAAAAGAGAAUCAUAUUUUCUAUUAUUUUCUAACUAGCUUUUUUAUAACUGAGAAGAGGCUUGUGUGAGAAAUGAAGAACAUCAAAGGCUAGUGGAAGUUAACUCAGGUGUAUCACUAGCAAAUUGUCUUAAAUAUGGAAGUUGUAGGCUAUACGACCAGUUCAAAAUACUGUUGCUUCACUUUCCCUUUAUUUCCUUAAAACAAGUAAAAUGACUGUUUUGGAAAAGUGUCGUCAUGAUGUUAAAUUGACCUUAAAAUUGCAACCCAAGGAAGUUUGUUUGGGCAUAAGGGUCAAGUGAGCUGCAGUUUCUGGGAUUUAUUUACCUAAUUGUCCAUCAAAACAAGUUACAUGUUUUGGUAAGUAAGCUGGAGCAAGUAUACAAAACUUUCUAACACUCCACAGAAACAACUGUACUGCCAUAUUGAUUUGUUUACUGUAUUGUUCAGUGUCUGCUUAUGUGUGUUUACAUUUUUUUGUGCACCCUGGAGAUUCAUCUGACUUUCAUUAAUGCUUAAGAUAGACUUAUUUGCUAACAAAAAUUAUUCAUGAAUGAAAAUUAUUGUUUCUUUUCAAAAUGGCCCAAACUUUGAGUGAGAUCUGCAUUCUCAAUCCUAAACAGUGAAUUGAUGUGUGUUGGCAGGAGCCAAGUUGUUCCUUAUAUAUGAAAUUUCUUGUAAAUAGUGUUUGCAGAUUUCUCAGGAUUUCUGUGUGUCCACUCUCUAGUGUGGUAUGGGUUAUGUGGCUUUGUACAUUCCCCGUUUCUGUGAAAUGAUUGGCUUUGUGCAAUUUGGUGAGGAAGCAGAUCUUUAUUUAUUUAUUUAUUUAUUUAUUUAUUUAUUUAUUAAGAGAUGAAGAGGUUUCACUCAUAAAAAGAUGGUCUCUGCAGGAAGAGUCCUCCUCUGGUACUUCACUGCCUCUGAAGAUGCUGAGCCAAGGAGCCUGAGAGUAGUGCAUUGCAUGCACUAUGCCUCAAGACUCCCUGAGUUCCAAAGAUCUUCUGGGAACCUCAUUCCAGAAGUAAAGCAGAGUGAUCUGUCCAGGGAACUGGCUCCAGUCUUUCAGGUAUGAUGUCAUAAUGAGUUUCUGGGACAGUCCUGGCUUUCCCAGCACCUCUGUCCUGGAUUAGUGCUGGGAGUCAGAGCCAGGUAUACAUUGUAUACACUGAACCCACAUGGGCUCCACCAGUGCAAAGGAGCUGGGGAAGGGAGGUCAGGGAAUUCAUAUACUUGUAUCUGUGCAAGUAUCCUGUCCUGCUUGGCUGGUAUUCCUAUCCUGCUUCCUAUUCUAACCUCCUCUGCAGUUCUGUUCAGUAUCUACUCCUUCCUUAGAAAGUGCCAUCCAAAGCUAGCCAAGUGGAUCAGGUCUGUGGACAUUUGCACAACACUGGUGUGUCCUGUACUCUCCUGCACAAAUUCUGGCUGUUGCAAGAUGAAGUUGCUUUUGUCCUGUUCCAGAUGCCCUCGCACCACAGCUGAUAGCAGGAUUGCAUCAUUUUUCCUUGGGCCCCUUGCAGCCCCAGGUGCUGGCACCUCACUCUGGAAUGGUUAGUUGUACCCAGUGAUGGCAGAUGCCCAUCAGCAGCUUGCUGCUGGUCACACUGACAUGCCACUGAGCAAAUAUAAGAGAUACCCAUAAUGCAAAGCAGCUGCACCAAGAAGUUGCUCUUUAAAUAAUUAGAAGAGUGUCAAAGAGAUGAAGCACUUGUCCUUUACACAAAUAAGUUGAGAAAAUACAUUUUUUGGCAGUGCUCUCACUGCUGCCCUGUGCUUCAUAACCUGUUGAGCCUUGCAAUGCCAGCUGGCAUUUUGCCAUUCAUUUAUUUAACUUUCCCCUCUUAAAUCAGUGUUCAAUUACAAUAACGUAGGAUUUCUUGGUAUCAUAGCUAAUUGCAAGAAAUAAGUACUUUGCUAUGGAAAAUAAAAGGAAGCCUGGUCUUUUGGGAGCUCCCUUAGGGGAGGGGAGUUCUGUGUAUUUGCAAGAUGUACUUCCUAGGAGGAAUUUCCCUUCUUUGUUGUAAGUGGGAUGGUGAACUUUUAGUGAUCUAUAUUACUGAAACCUCAAAGCUGUUUAUUAGAAAAAAAAAUCCACUGAUCAGCAUCUUCAAAGACAAGAAAUUCAAAGAUUAUGGAUGCCUCUGUUCUUGAACAAAUGUUGGAAGUACUGUGUAAUCUUAACUAUCAUAAUACUUUAUUCUAUAACGUAACUCACUAUCCUUAAUCACGGGGAGCAAAAUAUUACUCUUUUAAAGAGCAUUUAUGUUGUGGGAUCUUUGGUUUAUCUGCUUUGAAGAACAUCUGUAGCAGAAGAACGAGGACUGUGUCUGCUCUAUAGUCUCAGAGGAAGGCAGUAAAAGACCAGUGGUGUGGCCUGAGAUGAUGCUCUCUCCCUAUCUGGAGAAUCAGGAGCUUCUGUAGCUUGCACAAGAUUUUGUGGAGAUUAUAUGAUACAGUUAUAUUUUGGUAUAUGUGCAUUUGUUGAGAUCGUCAAAGCUGAAACUAUGAAGAGAAGCACACAUCACUAUAUGGCUGACCUCAUGUGUACAAGAUGACUUCAGCAAGUUAAAGUGAUCAGACUUCUUUUCAAAGACUACUAGAUUUCCCAGGAAGAAAUGAUAAUUUGAUUAUACUCAAAGGGAGGGGAACAAGCAACCCUCAGGCUGCUGAAGUACAGCUUUCUUUAGGUACCUUCCAUCAUGCUGAGUCAAGUACAUGCACCCCAGCCCUCUGGAGAUCCUGCACCAAAUCACUUUUGCCUAGACGACUCUCUGCUCUGCAGCAGGUGGGAUAACAAGCAUGGAGGACUUACAAAGAUGUGGGGUUGAGACCCACAGCUGCAGGUAGAGCUGUACCUAGAUGACAAGCAACAUCACUUCCUUCUUUCUGUUGUACUAAUGUAUGGAGCAGAUGCAGUGUUCUUGUUCUGAUCUGUGAUGAAGUAACAUCCCAGCCCUGAUUCACUGCCAUUUGUAGUAAGAUAAAAGGUGGGGCUGUUACACUGCAUACAGUACAACUGGAUCUCACAAUCAGAUUAACAGCAGCAGAUACAUGUGUUUGGCCAUAAACUUCUAUUACAGUCCUUCCUCUCUCUUUCCCCUAGACUGGCUGUGUAUUUUUUUGCCUCCUGAAGUCUGUGUUGAAUUAAAAAAAAAUGCAGAAUGGCCUGGAGGUGGCAGCAGCCAGUGAGUUGAACAAUGAGCUCUGUUUUGGUCACAAUCAAGUAACUGUUGGGGGCAGGGCAAUGCAGAGCAUGUAACAAAAAUGAGUUGCAUGUUUGCUGGAAAUUUUUGCUUGCAAAUAAUGUUAGGUAUUUUUGAGGAGCUUGCAAGAACACUGUUAAUCUUACAUAACUCUGGGGGGCUGCAUGAGGGCUAUCUCACUCUAUACUCUGCUGAAAAUCCUAGGAAAGUUUAAUGGACAGUAGUGUUUCUGUUGUUUACUGUCAGAAGGGCACUAUGUUGUUUUGAGUUGUUUGAAAGGACUUAUAACAGGAAUUGCUGUUUCUGUUUGUCUGGAAAAGUUGUCACAUUCUUUUAGCUAGCCAAAGAAUCAAUCCUAAAAAUGAACUUGAAUAAUUCAGGACUUCCCCCCCCCCCCCCUCCCCCCCCCCCCUCUGCUGGCUGCAUUUUGCUUGCCUAAAGGAAAUUUUCCCCUCUGUUUUAGACGUCAUGAAACAUACGUAUGCACUGAAUAGAUCUCAUUUACAGGACCAGCAAAACAAACUGUAUUUGAAGAAAUUUGAUUCACUGUGGAGUCAAAAGUUCUGUAGAGUCAGGAAAGAGCCACUGCUGGAGCUUCACCAUGGCAAAUGUGUCAUAACUUAUAGAAUGGCAGAGAUUUUGCUUUCAUUGUUGUAAACAUAACUGGCUGUGAAAAUGAAAAUAUUGGCUCAAUAUGAAAAUAAAGACAGUUUUUUCACUUUUCCAUAGUUGUUAUUCUUCUGGAAACAAAUGAUGGCAGUUCUUCAGACAAGGAGAUGUGAGCAUCUGAAUCAUGCAUGCAUUUCUCUUUCUGAACUACAAAAUUUAGUAACACACACAUUCCAGUUACUGCUGGGAGGAAAUGCUGAAGUUUCUGGAUAAUCAUUCAUAUG